rnacentral:snRNA from 1 species
GUCUUUUUCCAAGCAUACAAUAAAACUGAAAGAAUAGAGAAAAGCUUAGCAGCGCCCCGCGCAGGGAUUAUGCGCAAAUUCGUGAAAUGUUUUAAGAAUUU